rnacentral:antisense_RNA from 1 species
AGUCAUGAUUGCUAUUCCUUCGAAAUAGGGAUUGUGAUUAGCGAGGCGCUCGUGUUGCAGCACGGGCGUCUUGCGAU